AGAAUCACGAAAACAGCACGGCUGAGAUCCCAGUUGACAGGCAUCUCCCCCCUUCUGCCCCGGCUCUCUGGGAUUUCUGGUGACAGCCCUCGUCUCCAAGUAGGAUGAAUGCUGGAAUUACCAUGACCCCAAAAAUCCUGGACAUAGGACUUUUAAAAUCACCCAGGUUCCAGGAACAAGUCAGGCUUGAGGACUCAGAAGAGGAGGUACAGACCCCAGCCUCAGCCCCUUAGAUGACAAUCGCCACAGAGUAGCCCUGGGCGAGGGUGAGGACACAUCUAACAAGGAGGACACAGCACAGCGCAGACGCACACCACCACAGGACACAACCCGACAACAGCAGACAAAGAGAGGCCGUACUCGGUCUUUGCUGGUGCAGGUGACACAGAGCUGUCUGCAGUGGAAGGAGCAAGCUCGGGGGCUUGUCCACUGGCCCCAGCGGCGGGAGCAGGAGAGCCCAGGGCUGCAAAAACAUCCUUUGCAAGUUUGCUCCAGUGAAGCCCCACUCUACAAUGGUCUUCAGAGGCUUUUCGCUCAGCAUCUGUUUCUCCACAGAUGGUGCUGGACAGAACAAUCUCUGGAUUGCCAGUUCCACAAGGGCAGGAAUUUUUAUUCUUUUUGUUUCCUGUUGUACCCUCAAGCCUGGAAAUCAUGCCUGGCCCUUAGCAGCUGCUGCCUAAGUAUUUGUUGAGAGAUGUAUGAAUGAAUGAAUCAAUGGAAAAAUGAAAGUCAGGAAUAACUCCAAAGGAUCCCGAACCUGGAGUGGACUGGACUCAUGAGCCACCCCCCUCUUUGCUGCACCCCAGAAAAAUGAAUGCAGGCCGUGAGACUCUGGAGACAUGGCAGCCUCCUCAGGCCUGAUGCCUAGAUGGACCUGAGUCAUUAUUGUGCCAUGGGACCUGGAUGCCAAAGUUCCCUCUCAGCCUCCUAGGAAUGUCAAGACUCUCAGAAUGGUGAAGUUGGGAUUCUGAUUCAUUCAAACCCCUUAAAUGUCUGUUUGCUCCUUCCUGAAAAUGGCUACAC